GCAGUCUGCAGUGAACUGAGUUUUGUUUAGUGGAUUUGGGAUUACGUCCCAAACGACGUUUGUCUGUACUUGAUCAACAUAAAUAUAGCUACGCAUAACAGAUUUUUGUUAGGAUGGAUUUAGAGGAAAAUAUCUGAUAUGUAACCGAAAAAUAUUUUAUAUUAUGUCGACGGUGUUUUGUAAAAAUGGCGUAUACUAUAAAAAUCGAAAAAUUUGUUUUGGCAUUAAUAUUUUCCGAAAAAAUGGGCGCAUAAUCUGUAAAAAGGGCGGCUACAAAUAUUGAUGUUAAGUGUUAACUCUAUGUGCAGCGUUGGAUUUCUCAUCCAAAUGCCCAAAUACUGUUAUGUAAAAAGUACGUUAACACAGACAAGAGAAAAAAUAAAAGCGACAGGCGUUCGAAUCACUGAACUUAGUAUUGAGAUAUUCAACAUUAUCAUUCGUUAUAUUGACUAUUGAGUCAUAGAUAAGUAUAUAAAUGUAUUGAGUUCAGUGUGUGAGAGUGAGAUAGGCUAUAAAGAGGAUUUUUUUAUGGAGCCUACUAAUUAAUAGUUUGUUGUUCCGUGACAAAAUAAAUUAUUGAUAACCCUAUGAUAAAACAGAGUAAACUAUGUGAUAAAAUAUUGAAUAAGCUAAAUUUAAACAAGCAUUGUUUUUUUAGCGGCAGGUAGUUUAAAACAUUAAAAUUUUAAAUUGUCGUGUCAUUCUUCUAGUGUUUUUUUGUUAAGUAGAUAUUUGAAUUUUAAAUAAAAUGGUUCACAUAUGCUGUAGUUGUGGUUCAGAUAAAACUUCUUCCAUAAAACUACAUGGAUUUUCCAAAGAAAGUGAUUUAAGGCAAAAAUGGAUUUCUGCUAUGAAUAAAGGUCUUACAGCGGUAACUCAGCAUAGACUUUGUAGCCUUCAUUUUAAAGAUAAUUAUUAUUCACCAUCAUAUGGAAACCUUAUUUUAAAACUAGUUUCUGUGCCAUCACUAUUUGUUAACAUAAAAAAAUCAUUAACAUCAAAGUUAUAAAUAGUUGACAAAAGUCCUGUUCAAAGGAUUGAUUUUUCUACGGGAGAAAAUUCAUAAGUCAAGAGACCAUGUUGUAUGAUUUUUUGACAGCACUGUUUUUGACCCAACGCUAUAAUAAACAACACAAUUUUUGGGUCCACUCCAUUUUCUUAAUGGGUUGCCAUAAAAGUUAUGCAGUGGGCAUCUCUAUACAUCACUAACCAAGUGGAAAUCAAAGCAAAUGUUUGAAUUCCUUAUAAUUAUCAGUUUCUAAAAAUGACAAAAGUUAUUCACCUAAACAAAGUCAUUUAUAUAAACGAGAUAAUGAAAUUGAACUGUUAGCAAACCUAUUUACAUAGUCACCCGGCUUUUUAACUUCAAAGACUAACAAUAACUAUAGUAUUGAUUCAAAACACAAUUGAGCAUUGUUAAAGGAAGAGUGAAUACCCGAACAGACAAUGUGAAGAGAAAUGUACGAAUUGGAGAGUUCUCGCCACUUAAUCCUGCCAAUCAAGUAAAUUCCAAGCCAUUUUUAGGAAUUGGAGAAUACGAUGAUAAAAGAAAAAAAUUAUUGGC